GGACAGCCCAUAGCUCAGUGGUGGAGGGUCUGCUUUGCAUGCAGAAAGUCCCAGGUUCAAGUCCUGGCAUCUCCA